rnacentral:rRNA from 1 species
GGCGGUUCGCCGCCCGUGACUCUGCGAGAAGUCCAUUGAACCUUAUCAUUUAGAGGAAGGAGAAGUCGUAACAAGGUUUCCGUAGGUGAACCUGCGGAAGGAUCAUUG